GGCAAACACACCGGUGUGAGGCCAGGUGUGUAUCCUGCAUGGGCUCCAAACCUUUCUCCCUUUGGCAACUCACACCUCAGCACCAGGAGCAGCCCACAGAACACCCAGCAGCACCUGCACAGGACCGUGGCUGUGGUUGUUUCUGAGCGAGGCAAAGGACAACGUCCCCAUCCUGCUGCCCAAGAAAACAUCCCUGAGGCAGCUUCAGCCUCUUUAGAUCUCUGCAGUUUGGGCACAGAACUUCCGAUCUGUCUUCUGCUCUGACACAUUUUGAGAAUGAGCAAAUAAAAGGAGAGAAGCGGAAGUCAAAAUGAGAAAGAAGGCUGACUGCAGUCUGCAAACCGAGCGCUACAAGAGACGGAUGUGGUGUGGGCAUGAAGUCAAAUCACAACAGAACAUUGAGACGAGAUUUUCUUCUGGAAAUAAACAGAGGGGAAAAGUGCUGUUUCUCAAAAAGAAAAAAAAAAUGAAGAAGGAAGAAAAAGGAGAAAAGGAGAAAAGGAGAAAAGGAGAAAAGGAGAAAAGGAGAAAAGGAGAAAAGGAGAAAAGGAGAAAAGGAGAAAAGGAGAAAAGGAGAAAAGGAGAAAAGGAGAAAAGGAGAAAAGGAGAAAAGGAGAAAAGGAGAAAAGGAGAAAAGGAGAAAAGGAGAAAAGGAGAAAAGGAGAAAAGGAUAGAUGUUACAGAACAGUUGGAGGAACGCCUGGAAUGAGACAUCCCUGUACAAGAAAUGCAAAAAUCCUAAUAGCCUUUUAUAUAUUCAUGAAUUAAGUGACAGAAAGGCUAAGCAGGAAAGUCCCACUGUUACAGAAGGGAAUAUUCACACAGCUCCUAUUAGCUGUUGUUUUCCAACACUGCAGUCUUCAGGGGAAUUAACACAUUUCCUAUUGAGAAAGAGGAAAACAAGACAGCUCAUUUAUCUGGAGGAGCGUCCCCGUCUUAUCACAGUAUCUGAGCAGAUCAAAGCUACCAGACACCACCAGAACCAGCACCAAAAGAUGUGGAACAUCUGAAGAAACUCUUCAUUCCAUCAUGUAAAUUAAAUGGCAAAAAAAAAAAAAAGUUUGUGGCUCCACUGCCUUUAGAGAUGUUUUGCUGCAGUGCUGACAUAGUGGCAAUGAAUCUGCUCUCACCGUUAGAAAAGUAUAAUGGACUGCCUGAGUCUGUGCCUCCUGCUCAAACCUGUAAGGCAUACAGAGACAAAAAGUAUUUGGCAGUGCUUAAAAUACCUCAUCCUCGUUUGUAUCUGUGCUUCUCAAUCUGCUGAAAGGAACUGCAUCUAGCUUGAAAACUUUCAGCUGAAAGGGAUUCUGUAACUUUAUUUUCCAUGUGUGCCCUUAAAAUGGUCUGAAUUUCUAAGGAAUCCUAGGAGUUUCAAAGUCAGUUUUUACACUGACACGCGAGUUUUUCAUAUCAUGUAACAAGUGCCAACGAUGUUACCCAUACUUCAAUGCUAUCUCCAUAAAAAUUUUCUAAGUAGACUUCGUUAAAAAAAACCAAAAGUCCAUAAGAUCACCUGCACAAAAUGAGAAAAGUGAGUGUGAUUUAUUCAGUGCCCUGCUAGUUUAAGAGAUUAAAGCUAUUACCAUGAUCGUCACAAAGAUUUGCAGUGAUCUGUAAGUGUGAAGGUUUGACUACACGGAGUAUAUCCGGAUGGUGCCCUCCGACUCCUGCUCUUUGUAUUACUUCAACUAAGGAGGAGUAGCAAUAGUUAAUCAACUUCUCUGACUCUUUGAAAUUUGCAGACCCAGAAAUUAAACCUGCGAAGCGCUGGGUAUCUCCUGCUCUUAGCGUAGCCAGGAUGGAGUCCCAAAAGACCAUUAGGUAAAUUUGAAGUAAUCUUAUAUAACUAAUGGAAAAAUCCUGUGACUUUUGGACAGCAGGUGGGUUUAUGAAACAAUCUCCUAACACCACCAGAAGCCAGUUGAGAGAUUACAAGUGCCAUAAUCUGCUCUAACAGUCCUCCUUUAACUCCUGUGCGCUGAAAUUCUAACCAGGGAAUGAGAUGGAGGUACGUCUUUAUGUCUUUUAAAUUGUUAUUUGAUUAAAAGUAAGCUGCUGCAUCAUCUGAUACAAUGCAGUUCUCAUGCUGGGAAGUCGCGAACGUAAACUGUGCUCUAUUAAACCCGUUAGCAGUCGUUAAAAUGCAGAGCGCUGCUGGCACCUUUUAGAGCAACUACUAAAAUAUGCAUCAUGUGGGCACCUUAAAUGAGUCAUUUUUAAAAAGAUUUAUUUUUCAAUCAUUCUAUAAACAAGAAUAAAUCAAAACAAUUCAGUCUUUCACCCCACUGAGAUAAAGUAAGUGCAAAUGCUGUUUCAAAGUUAAUUGGCUCUGAAAUAUUUAAGUCUGGGGAAAAUAAUUUUGAAUGACAGAAUUUUAGAAAAACAUCUAUAUUUAUUUCUAUAUCCAUCAUAUUCCUUUACAUUUGUAGCUCAUGAGGCAUAAAAUUUUUUUAAUAGGUUAGCACAACUACAUGCAAAUGCUAGGAAAUGCAUUAUUCCUCAUAUGAAAUCGGGUUAAUAUUUGUCCUUAUUCUACUGCAGAAAUAAAAUGCACAGACAUGAAUAAAAACGAAAUGUAAAUGGUCUAAGUGUGGCUGGUGACAAAAAUUAAAGCUUUGAUCUACCGC
rnacentral:lncRNA from 1 species